rnacentral:rRNA from 1 species
GGUAACAGGUCCAGCUUGCUGGAUGCUGACGAGCGGCGGACGGGUGAGUAACGCAUAGGAAUCUACCCGGUAGUGGGGGAUAACCUGGGGAAACCCAGGCUAAUACCGCAUACGUCCUACGGGAGAAAGGGGGCUUAGGCUCCCGCUAUUGGAUGAGCCUAUGCCGGAUUAGCUGGUUGGUGAGGUAAUGGCUCACCAAGGCGACGAUCCGUAGCUGGUCUGAGAGGAUGAUCAGCCACAUCGGGACUGAGACACGGCCCGAACUCCUACGGGAGGCAGCAGUGGGGAAUAUUGGACAAUGGGGGCAACCCUGAUCCAGCCAUGCCGCGUGUGUGAAGAAGGCCCUCGGGUUGUAAAGCACUUUCAGCGAGGAAGAACGCCUGUCGGUUAAUACCCGGCAGGAAAGACAUCACUCGCAGAAGAAGCACCGGCUAACUCCGUGCCAGCAGCCGCGGUAAUACGGAGGGUGCAAGCGUUAAUCGGAAUUACUGGGCGUAAAGCGCGCGUAGGUGGCUUGAUAAGCCGGUUGUGAAAGCCCCGGGCUCAACCUGGGAACGGCAUCCGGAACUAUUAGGCUAGAGUGCAGGAGAGGAAGGUAGAAUUCCCGGUGUAGCGGUGAAAUGCGUAGAGAUCGGGAGGAAUACCAGUGGCGAAGGCGGCCUUCUGGACUGACACUGACACUGAGGUGCGAAAGCGUGGGUAGCAACAGGAUUAGAUACCCUGGUAGUCCACGCCGUAACGAUGUCGACCAGCCGUUGGGUGCCUAGCGCACUUUGUGGCGAAGUUAACGCGAUAAGUCG